rnacentral:lncRNA from 1 species
UGAGGUGUUACCUCUCCUGCAGAUACGAGAGGCUUUACUCGAACGCUUCUGCCGCACACAGCCCCCCAACUCCACCAUGUCCCUGGUGAGUUGAUGACUUCAAAUCCUCAGUUCUCCUGCUGAGAGCAGGUUAGAAGCAGCUGUUCCACAGCCUUCCUAAGAGGCACAGCUAGAAGCCAAGAGGAGGCUGGGAUUGCCUUUUAGAAUGAGCAUGCUUUGGGUUCAAACUCCCCAACAAUGGAGAAAGGAGCCCCAUCAGAGCAGCCAGAGUCAGGUUCCUGGGCUCCAGAUUCCAACCUGGACUCCUGGGGACUCCCUUUGUCCCUGGUUUCUCCAUUUGAAAGUCUGCCUCCAGUCACUACAUGAAGGGAAAAUGUAGGAUCGGUAAGCGUGGGAGUCAGCAUAGCUGAGAGCAAAGUUCCUAGGAUUACUGUGGCCCUGGCAGGAGGGCAGGUAAGAACAUGAAGAUGGGUACAACCUCACCAAAGGAGAGCUGAUGAUAAUAGCAAUCACCCUGCACCUGGGCCUUUCUGCCCCUUCCUAGGCUACAUAUGAAACCUACAUCCCAGAACCCAGCAAAGGAAGAAGUGAAGACACCAGCUAGGAAGAAAAAGGAUGGCUUACUGACAGGAACUCUCAUCUUCCAAACAUUAAAGGUGAAGGACAAAUUUUGGUUUGUUCCUUUUCAAAGUUUAGGAAAAGGCGAAGCUACUGGGUGCCUCUUUCUUUAACGUUGACAACAAUAUCAAUAUAAAUGUAGGUUUCAUAGACAUAUGCAUGUAUACAACAAGUUACUGAUCUGAGCACCUUUGUAAGAACACAUUAACAAUUCUUAAGUAGAGAGGAAGUCACCACAGACCACCAA